GCCUCUGUAGCUCAGUGGAUAGAGCGACCGCCUCCUAAGCGGUAGGUCGCAGGUUCGAUUCCUGCCAGGGGCACCC
rnacentral:tRNA from 1 species